rnacentral:rRNA from 1 species
UAAUGGCCUACCAAGGCGACAAUCCGUAGCUGGUCUGAGAGGACGACCAGCCACACCGGAACUGAGACACGGUCCGGACUCCUACGGGAGGCAGCAGUGGGGAAUAUUGGACAAUGGGGGAAACCCUGAUCCAGCGACGCCGCGUGUGUGAAGAAGGCCUGCGGGUUGUAAAGCACUUUUAGUGGGGACAAAAAGCUACGGACUAAUACUCUGUGGUCAUGAUUUAACCUACAGAAAAAGCACCGGCUAACUCUGUGCCAGCAGCCGCGGUAAUACAGAGGGUGCGAGCGUUAAUCGGAAUUACUGGGCGUAAAGCGCGCGUAGACGGUUUUGUAAGUCAGAUGUGAAAUCCCUGGGCUCAACCUGGCAACUGCAUUUGAGACUGCAUGGCUAGAGUAUCGAAGAGGGAAGUGGAAUUUCCGGUGUAGCGGUGAAAUG